CCUGAGAUGAGCCGUGUUACUGAAUAUAUGUCUGUGAGUAGGAACACAAAGCAAGAAGAUACAGAGGAAGGUAUUCACUAUGGAUCCAUCUCCUUCCAGCCUAAAGCAACUGGUGGCAACAGCGAUAAUACACUGUCCUCCAAUCAAGCAUCAGGCACUAACCUUGUUUCUUCAAAGGAAGAUGAGUC